UAGGCCUCAACCAAGUCCAGUUUUUCUUUCAUUUAUUCAUGUUGUUCUAUAAAGUUUGCUUCUUUAUGAAAAGAAAUGAAAAAACCCUUCCUUAAUCCUUGUUCCUUCCCUCUCGACCGCCGCCACUCACUCUUUGCUCCAUCGCCUGAUUUCUGCUUCGCGGGCGUUGCCAUUGUGUCCAAUUACAACAGAUUCCAUCAACAAAUUAGCAAAUUUGGUGAAUGAGGAAAGUAAAAUCAUUCGAGAAUCUGGGUUGUGGAAUUCUUACAGUGUUGUGGUUGAUUUCAAUUAAGUUUUUGUUAACUAAAAUGUUUGGUUUCUUUUUUACUCCUUAAAAGACAUGGAAGAAGUAUCUACAUAUGAAUCGAGGGUAGCCUUUUUUGUGUGCUUUGGUUCUUAUAAUUGUAUUUGACAUCAAAAUCUUGCCCGAUUAAUUGUUUGUAAUGAAAAUUGUCCCUGUUCUAGUGCAAGGAAUGUUAGUCCUUUAGGAUUCUACAUUGAUUUAUUAUGAUUAUUAUUGUUAUUUUUUCUGGUUUACUUUGUUAGUGUUCAUGGUUCUACUCUAAUCAGCUUGCUUCUGAAUUUUAUAACAUUCUCAUUUUGAUAAAA